CUGAUGCAGCCAUGCCGCGUGUAUGAAGAAGGCCUUCGGGUUGUAAAGUACUUUCAGCGGGGAGGAAGGGAGUAAAGUUAAUACCUUUGCUCAUUGACGUUACCCGCAGAAGAAGCACCGGCUAACUCCGUGCCAGCAGCCGCGGUAAUACGGAGGGUGCAAGCGUUAAUCGGAAUUACUGGGCGUAAAGCGCACGCAGGCGGUUUGUUAAGUCAGAUGUGAAAUCCCCGGGCUCAACCUGGGAACUGCAUCUGAUACUGGCAAGCUUGAGUCUCGUAGAGGGGGGUAGAAUUCCAGGUGUAGCGGUGAAAUGCGUAGAGAUCUGGAGGAAUACCGGUGGCGAAGGCGGCCCCCUGGACGAAGACUGACGCUCAGGUGCGAAAGCGUGGGGAGCAAACAGGAUAGAUAUGCGGGGU
rnacentral:rRNA from 1 species